GUUUCCAUGCAAUUUAUCCAGUUGGAGGCAUGGGGACCAUAGAACAACUGUAAAACUUUAUGAAGCUCAAAUUGUACCAGAGCUUAAUAAUGGAUGGGGUAAGAAAUGGUUAUAGAAGUCAUAGUUUCUUCCUGGGCUGGUUCCAGUGUCUAUAUGACAUUUAAAUGAUAUUUUCCGGCAAUAUUGAGAUUGUCUAUAUAGUGAAUUGUCAGAUGAAUUUAC